CGGACCUUUCACCUUGGCUUGGAGGGAGCACGGAUGGGAGCACAUGCUACAAACAUUUGGGAAAUGUAGGAAGAGGCAAAGAAAACUCAAAGCAAAGGUCCAGAGGGGAAGACGGCCUACAGUGCUUUGGCGGAGACGGCUGUUUCUCAACAUCGCACUCAACUGCGUCAGGACCGUGACUGUCUGCACAGCAGAUCAUGGCUCAAUCAGCAGGCCUCAGCUCUGACCACCUCCUGUCAUGUCACCUUUGCUCAACUGUCUGGACCCUCUGGACCACCUGGACAACACAUCACGUGGAGACGGCCCUCUCUGAACAUCACACUCAACUGCGUCAGGACCAUGAAAGCAGG